CAGUCGCCGCGGUAAUACAAAGGGGGCUAGCGUUGUUCGGAUUCACUGGGCGUAAAGGGCGCGUAGGCGGACUGAUAAGUCAGGGGUGAAAUCCCAAGGCUCAACCUUGGAACUGCCUUUGAUACUGUUUGUCUUGAGUUCAAGAGAGUUAAGUGGAACUGCGAGUGUAGAGGUGAAAUUCGUAGAUAUUCGCAAGAACACCAGUGGCGAAGGCGGCUUACUGGCUCGAAACUGACGCUGAGGCGCGAAAGCGUGGGGAGCAAACAGGAUUAGAUACCCCCGUAGUCCCUGUCUCUUAUAC
rnacentral:rRNA from 1 species